rnacentral:lncRNA from 1 species
UUAAAUUCAAACCCGAAUUAUCUUAUUAAGGUGGAAGAGCUCAUUUAUUUCACCACACUCCUUUAUCAAAUGGCAAUAUCAAAAUGAAAAAGGUUACAAUACAUUGAUGGCUAAUUGGACACUCUUAGCGCAAACUGGAAGUAGCUUUUCUUCAUAUUUUUUUCCUUAUCUUCUUUUGUUGGAGCAUGAAUUGUUUGAUGAAGUGCUCUUGCUUAUCAUUAAUAAAAAUACUAAACAUUCUAAUUACAAAUACUACCAAAAAACACAUACACAAG